rnacentral:tRNA from 1 species
AGAGACUUAGGUUAACACCAGACCAAGGGCCUUCAAAGCCCUAAAUGAGGGUGAGAAUCCCCCAGUCCCUG